GACGAACGCUGGCGGCGCGCCUAACACAUGCAAGUCGAACGGAGCUGAGAGAAGCUUGCUUUUCUUAGCUUAGUGGCGAACGGGUGAGUAACGCGUGAGUAACCUGCCCUGGAGUGGGGGACAACAGUUGGAAACGACUGCUAAUACCGCAUAAGCCCACGAUCCGGCAUCGGCUUGAGGGAAAAGGAUUUAUUCGCUUCAGGAUGGACUCGCGUCCAAUUAGCUAGUUGGUGAGGUAACGGCCCACCAAGGCGACGAUUGGUAGCCGGACUGAGAGGUAGAACGGCCACAUUGGGACUGAGAAACGGCCCAGACUACUACGGGAGGCAGCAGUGGGGGAUAUUGCAAAAUGGGGGAAACCAUGAUGCAGCGACGCCGCGUGGAGGAAGAAGGUUUUCGGAUUGUAAACUCCUGUAGUUAGGGACGAUAAUGACGGUACCUAACAAGAAAGCACCGGCUAACUACGUG
rnacentral:rRNA from 1 species